rnacentral:rRNA from 1 species
GUUUGACUGGGGCGGUCUCCUCCUAAAGAGUAACGGAGGAGCACGAAGGUUGGCUAAUCCUGGUCGGACAUCAGGAGGUUAGUGCAAUGGCAUAAGCCAGCUUGACUGCGAGCGUGACGGCGCGAGCAGGUGCGAAAGCAGGUCAUAGUGAUCCGGUGGUUCUGAAUGGAAGGGCCAUCGCUCAACGGAUAAAAGGUACUCCGGGGAUAACAGGCUGAUACCGCCCAAGAGUUCAUAUCGACGGCGGUGUUUGGCACCUCGAUGUCGGCUCAUCACAUCCUGGGGCUGAAGUAGGUCCCAAGGGUAUGGCUGUUCGCCAUUUAAAGUGGUACGCGAGCUGGGUUUAGAACGUCGUGAGACAGUUCGGUCCCUAUCUGCCGUGGGCGCUGGAGAACUGAGGGGGGCUGCUCCUAGUACGAGAGGACCGGAGUGGACGCAUCACUGGUGUUCGGGUUGUCAUGCCAAUGGCACUGCCCGGUAGCUAAAUGCGGAAGAGAUAAGUGCUGAAAGCAUCUAAGCACGAAACUUGCCCCGAGAUGAGUUCUCCCUGAGACUUAGAGUCUCCUGAAGGAACGUUGAAGACGACGACGUUGAUAGGCCGGGUGUGUAAGCGCAGCGAUGCGUUGAGCUAACCGGUACUAAUGAACCGUGAGGCUUAACCUUACAACGCCGAAG